AAAGCAGGAAAUUCGAAACUCAGCUCGUGAAUUUGACUUCCUUAUCAAUAUGUUUUGGACGAUAAAAUUGGGGCGCAACAAUGUGAAACAACAUAUUUGGCUAUAAAAUAAACCUUUAGACGGCGACCUGUGAAAGUAUUUAGUAACUUGCCUUCAACUAUUGCAGUGUAUAGUCGACUGACUCGACUCUGUAUCGAGGCUAGAGGCAACAGCACAGUGUACUAAGGCACCAACGGUACGCGGUACAGUACAAGGAGUUCUACGAAAACGUCGAGACAGCUUGUGGUGGUUUUUCUCUUGUAGGUGAACCAAGGUGUCAGCCAUGACCUCGUGAUGUGAAAAACGAUCAAAUGACCAAAGCGAGAAUUUUAAACUUUGGAAGAAGAGAUAGUGGAGCGGUAUUGUAAACUCGAAUGACUCUUUCAAUUCAACGGUGGACGUCCUGUAUACUGAUGACUGACAUGCGUCAAUUGAUGUAAUUUCAUAUGCAAAUACAACAUUUUCGAGUUCAGUUUGGGAAUUGGACGAGAGAUCAGAGAAUCGUUAGUGUUAUAUUUAAAGGUGAACGUAAAGCGUCCCAGCAUAACUUUGACUACAGUCACCGGAUAAUUCAUCGUCUUCAAUGACCUGGAGUGAGCAACGUGGUUGGAUGUAGAAUUGGCGAGUUUUAUCAUUUUAAUGGUUGGAUGAAUGAUUCGGCCAAUGUUCCAUAUGGAAAUUCUGGUAGAAGAAUGCUGAAUUUUGCUGAACUUUUCUGCCAUACUUUGUU